GGUUCAGUGGCAGAGCAUCUGCCUCACAUGCAGAAGGUCCCAGGUUCAAAUCCCAACAUCUCCC